UACGUAGGGGGCAAGCGUUAUCCGGAUUUACUGGGUGUAAAGGGGGCGCAGACGGCGAUGCAAGCCAGGAGUGAAAGCCCGGGGCCCAACCCCGGGACUGCUCUUGGAACUGCGCGGCUGGAGUGCAGGAGGGGCAGGCGGAAUUCCUGGUGUAGCGGUGAAAUGCGUAGAUAUCAGGAGGAACACCGGUGGCGAAGGCGGCCUGCUGGACUGCGACUGACGUUGAGGCCCGAAAGCGUGGGGAGCAAACAGG
rnacentral:rRNA from 1 species